AGAGUUUGAUCCUGGCUCAGAAUCAACGCUGGCGGCGUGCCUAACACAUGCAAGUCGAACGAGAAAGUGGAGCUUGCUUCAUGAGUAAAGUGGCAAACGGGUGAGUAACACGUGAACAACCUACCCUUGAGUGGGGAAUAACACCGCGAAAGUGGUGCUAAUACCGCAUAACAUCUUUAGAUCGCAUGUUCUGAAGAUUAAAAGCGCAAGUUGCUUGAGGAGGGGUUCGCGCCUGAUUAGCUAGUUGGUGAGGUAACGGCUCACCAAGGCAACGAUCAGUAGCCGGCCUGAGAGGGCGAACGGCCACACUGGAACUGAGACACGGUCCAGACUCCUACGGGAGGCAGCAGUGGGGAAUUUUGCGCAAUGGGCGAAAGCCUGACGCAGCAACGCCGCGUGGAGGAUGAAGGCCUUCGGGUCGUAAACUCCUGUCAGUGGGGACGAAUGCUUCGCAAGAAGUUUGACUGUACCCGCUGAGGAAGCCACGGCUAACUCCGUGCCAGCAGCCGCGGUAAUACGGAGGUGGCAAGCGUUGUUCGGAAUUACUGGGCGUAAAGGGCGCGUAGGCGGCUUGGCAAGUCAGAUGUGAAAGCCCCGGGCUUAACUCGGGAAUUGCAUCUGAAACUGCUUUGCUUGAGUCCUGNAGGGGAUAGUGGAAUUCCCAGUGUAGCGGUGAAAUGCGUAGAUAUUGGGAGGAACACCUGUGGCGAANGCGGGCUAUCUGGACAGUGACUGACGCUGAGGCGCGAAAGCUAGGGGAGCGAACGGGGAUUAGAUACCCCNGGUAGUCCUAGCCGUAAACGAUGGGCACUUGGUGUGGGGGGGUAUUGAGUCCCUCGGUGCCGGAGNUAACACNUUAAGUGCCCCGCCUGGGGAUACGGUCNCAGACUGAAACUAAAGAAUUGACGGGG
rnacentral:rRNA from 1 species